rnacentral:rRNA from 1 species
UACGGAGGGUGCAAACGUUGCUCGGAAUCAUUGGGCGUAAAGAGCGUGUAGGCGGCCAGGUAGGUCGGUUGUGAAAACUGGAGGCUCAACCUUCAGACGUCGACCGAAACCAUCUGGCUAGAGUCCGGGAGAGGAGAGUGGAAUUCCUGGUGUAGCGGUGAAAUGCGCAGAUAUCAGGAAGAACACCCGUGGCGAAAAGCGGCUCUCUGGAACGGUACUGACGCUGAGACGCGAAAGCGUGGGGAGCGAACAGG